rnacentral:sRNA from 1 species
UGCCCGAUGAGGUCUUCCUUGACCAGCUC